CAGGACACCUUGGAUGCUUUCCCUGCCCAACCUUGCCUCUCCCAGCAUUUGACUUUCACAGGCUUGGAUCUCUCCCAGAAGUCUUAGACCCCUACCUCCUCUCAGUGUUUGCUUCCAAGCAGAUACAAGUUCCUAAUAGUCAACAAUCUAUUUACCUGAUGCAGAACCAACUUCUCUUUCAUCUUUCUUAUACCUUCCCUCUAAUUUCUAAGGAACCAAAUUCUUAGUCGUCAUUUAUUGAUAGGACUCCUAGAAAUCUCCUCAUUAUGUUUUUGCUUCCAGAUGUUUUUGUUCUUGGAAAAAAAAAGAAGAGUCUUAGGAGAGCUAAAGGUUCUCUGGGAGCUGCUCUCACUGAAUGGCUUCUCAGAUGACUGCUGGGUUUCCAUCUCUGACGUACCGAGGACACAACACAAGCACACUACCAAGCACAGAACUGAACAGGCCAGUAGACUCAUUAGACUAACUGCAGCAGACAGACAAUCAGCACAAACAACCUGUUGAUGUACUUAGAUCAAUAAGGCUCUGGAAGAUAUUCAGUUUAGUGCCGAAAGAAGUUCGCAUCAAGGACAGCUUGAACCGUGCAAGAGAAACUGAAAGGAGCUAACUGAUUCUAAGAUGAACAUCACGGAAGAACAAAAGAAUCCUUUUGAAAGACUGGUUUCUGCAAGGCAUUCCAAAGGAGACCCAUGUGAUUCAUGCAAAAACGCUAUUACCUGAACUCUAAACCUUAAAGAAAAUGGGUCUGUAUAACACCUGCUACAAACUCAAGAAUGAGGACAUUACUCUAAGAGAAAAAUACAGCGGAAUGAGUUUAAGAAAAUUGGGACAAGAUUAUCUGCAAAUCUUCUCAACAGUUUGUCUACAAUGACACAGAAUUUGUGAACAAUAUCAAACAGAAUAAAGGAGUCUUUAUGUUUUUGCAAUAAA